UCCCUGAUAGUUCAAUGGUAGAACAACUGGCUGUUAACCAGUAGGUUCCAGGUUCGAGUCCUGGUCGGGGAGCAA
rnacentral:tRNA from 3 species